CGUCCCUCCAGUCCUUCGCUCGGGCCCGCCUUCGGGCCUUCGAGCGGCGCUUGCUGCCCGUACUAUCUACCCGGUCCUGCGGGAAGACGACGCAACCCACACGCCAGUCCGCCCCCACCGCCUCGUGUCGGGUGAGGGGCGGCCGCGGCGCGGGCGUCGYGCGCCCCCGGAUGGCGCGGCCGUCAGGCCACCGUCCCGGUCGGGCUCUCGACGUCCCGCGAGCGCUCUCGGAUGCGGAGGAUGCCGCGGGCUUCGGGGACUUCGGUCUUCGACCCGGACCUCGGUCGGUCAUUGAGCCGCCCUCAUCGAGACGACGGCCGGCCCGCCGUCGGGCCCCUUCUGCCUCCCACGGGCGGGCGGGCGGGCGCCCCGACGGCGGCACCGGC
rnacentral:misc_RNA from 1 species